GUAGGUGGCAAGCGUUGUCCGGAAUUAUUGGGCGUAAAGCGCGCGCAGGUGGUUCUUUAAGUCUGAUGUGAAAGCCCCCGGCUCAACCGGGGAGGGUCAUUGGAAACUGGGGAACUUGAGUGCAGGAGAGGAAAGUGGAAUUCCACGUGUAGCGGUGAAAUGCGUAGACAUGUGGAGGAACACCAGUGGCGAAGGCGACUUUCUGGCCUGUAACUGACACUGAGGCGCGAAAGCGUGGGGAGCAAACAGGAUUAGAUACCCUGGUAGUCCACGCCGUAAACGAUGAGUGCUAAGUGUUGGGGGCUUCCCGCCCCUCAGUGCUGCAGCUAACGCAUUAAGCACUCCGCCUGGGGAGUACGGUCGCAAGACUG
rnacentral:rRNA from 1 species